CGGGGUGUAGCGCAGUCAGGUAGCGCGCCACGUUCGGGACGUGGAGGCCGUGGGUUCGAAUCCCGCCACCCCGA
rnacentral:tRNA from 1 species